rnacentral:rRNA from 1 species
UGGGGAAUAUUGCGCAAUGGGGGGAACCCUGACGCAGCCAUGCCGCGUGAAUGAAGAAGGCCUUAGGGUUGUAAAGUUCUUUCGGUAUUGAGGAAGGUUGAUGUGUUAAUAGCACAUCAAAUUGACGUUAAAUAUAGAAGAAGCACCGGCUAACUCCGUGCCAGCAGCCGCGGUAAUACGGAGGGUGCGAGCGUUAAUCGGAAUAACUGGGCGUAAAGGGCACGCAGGCGGUUAUUUAAGUGAGGUGUGAAAGCCCCGGGCUUAACCUGGGAAUUGCAUUUCAGACUGGGUAACUAGAGUACUUUAGGGAGGGGUAGAAUUCCACGUGUAGCGGUGAAAUGCGUAGAGAUGUGGAGGAAUACCGAAGGCGAAGGCAGCCCCUUGGGAAUGUACUGACGCUCAUGUGCGAAAGCGUGGGGAGCAAACAGGAUUAGAUACCCUGGUAGUCCACGCUGUAAACGCUGUCGAUUUGGGGGUUGGGGUUUAACUCUGGCGCCCGUAGCUAACGUGAUAAAUCGACCGCCUGGGGAGUACGGCCGCAAGGUUA